rnacentral:tRNA from 1 species
GGAAGCGUGCCUGAGAAUAGCAAGGACUACCUUGAUAGAGUAGACACGGUAUCAUAUAACCCACUUCCU